CAGUCGCCACGGGAAUACGGAGGGUGCAAGCGUUAUCCGGAUUUAUUGGGUUUAAAGGGUCCGUAGGCGGAUCUGUAAGUCAGUGGUGAAAUCUCACAGCUUAACUGUGAAACUGCCAUUGAUACUGCAGGUCUUGAGUAAAUUUGAAGUGGCUGGAAUAAGUAGUGUAGCGGUGAAAUGCAUAGAUAUUACUUAGAACACCAAUUGCGAAGGCAGGUCACUAAGAUUUAACUGACGCUGAUGGACGAAAGCGUGGGGAGCGAACAGGAUUAGAUACCCCUGUAGUCCCUGUCUCUUAUAC
rnacentral:rRNA from 1 species